UAGCGAAGGGGGCUAGCGUUGCUCGGAAUCAGCUGGGCGUAAAGGGCGCGUAGGCGGCCAUUCAAAUCAGAAGGUGAAAGCCCAAGGCUCAACCCUUGGGAAUUGCCUUUGAUUACUAGUUUGGCUUGAGACCGGAAGAGGUUAGUGGAACUGACGAGUGUUCAGAGGUGAAAUUCGUAGAAUAUUCGCAAGAACACCAGUGGCGAAAGGCGGCCUCAGCUGGCC
rnacentral:rRNA from 1 species